rnacentral:rRNA from 1 species
GACGAACGCUGGCGGCGUGCCUAAUACAUGCAAGUAGAACGCACAGUUUAUACCGUAGCUUGCUACACCAUAGACUGUGAGUUGCGAACGGGUGAGUAACGCGUAGGUAACCUGCCUGGUAGCGGGGGGUAACUAUUGGAAACGAUAGCUAAUACCGCAUAAUAUUAAUUAUUGCAUGAUAAUUAAUUGAAAGGUGCAAUUGCACCACUACCAGAUGGACCUGCGUUGUAUUAGCUAGUAGGUGAGGUAACGGCUCACCUAGGCGACGAUACAUAGCCGACCUGAGAGGGUGAUCGGCCACACUGGGACUGAGACACGGCCCAGACUCCUACGGGAGGCAGCAGUAGGGAAUCUUCGGCAAUGGACGAAAGUCUGACCGAGCAACGCCGCGUGAGUGAAGAAGGUUUUCGGAUCGUAAAGCUCUGUUGUAAGAGAAGAACGGGUGUGAGAGUGGAAAGUUCACACUGUGACGGUAUCUUACCAGAAAGGGACGGCUAACUACGUG